UGAGGGUGACCCUGAGUUACUUGUUUACAUUCCGUGAGUAUCCACUUUUGUUGUUUUAUGUGUUGUCUUCAGGACAUGAGUUAAAGUAUGCAUAAACAUGAAAUGGAUAGGGACAGGGAGAUCCAUUGGUUGACUAGUUGUACCCAUUUUUCCAUAUUUUCAUUCGAUUUCAAUGGUAACAUGUUUGUUAGAUCUCCAUAGUCGGAUCUGUAUGAGUUUGAGUAUGGGAUUCAACCUUAGUAGCAUCUCCAGGUUCACCUAAAACAAACAUAACACUUAAUAGUGAGUUUGACGGGAUACUGUUGGACUACUCAGGGCAACGUGCCAUGCCUGAAACCUUGGAAAUUGGCAGAGGUGGGGUUGGCCCAUUCGUAACUAGUGUCUUGUGGGGGGGAAGGGAUUGGGUGAAUAUAGUGUUUUCUAAUUGAUGUUGUAUAUGAACCAAUGCAGGCUGCAUCCCUCAAAGAAAAGAUUAACCGAAUGUUUGGUGGAGAGCAUGUACGUUUCAAGUUUAUCUUCCUUUGGUCGAGUAUUAUGUGGAUAAAUAUGGAAUUAAAAUGCUAAUUUAAACACUUUUUAUCUGCAAUCAGCAAGAAGUGUUUCCUAUUUUUUUUUUUUUUAAAUUUAUUUUUCGGAUCUGGGGAAGGGAUUAAAAUUUGGAACCUCUUCCAACAAAGUGGAGAUAACUACCAGUAUAACAAUAGCUAGCUGGUGUCUCCUAAUUAAAAUUAGGACGCCCAAAUUUCUGACCUUU
rnacentral:lncRNA from 1 species